GAGUGUCAUGUCAUCACACCUUAUCACUAACACCUCAUUGCCAUGUCAUCACCUCCAAUGAUGUGGCAAUGAUGUGCCAAUGAAUAGGAGUGAUGAUGUAAUACUUUAU
rfam:Glycine soja cultivar W05 scaffold2757_9, whole genome shotgun sequence.